rnacentral:misc_RNA from 1 species
UUUAUACAAUAUGGACUCAACAUCUUCACCAACAUAUCCAGCCUGAGUUAAGGCUGUCGCAUCAGAAAUGACAAAUGGUACAUUAACAAAGCGCGCUAGUGUUUUUGCAAGCAAUGUCUUGCCUGAGCCAGUUGGGCCCAUCAAAAGAACAUUGCUUUUAUCUAGCUCCACAUUAGAAUCAUCGUCCAUUGCAUCUGAAGUUCC